GGUUAAGCGACUAAGCGUACACGGUGGAUGCCCUGGCAGUCAGAGGCGAUGAAGGACGUGCUAAUCUGCGAUAAGCGUCGGUAAGGUGAUAUGAACCGUUAUAACCGGCGAUUUCCGAAUGGGGAAACCCAGUGUGAUUCGUCACACUAUCAUUAACUGAAUCCAUAGGUUAAUGAGGCGAACCGGGGGAACUGAAACAUCUAAGUACCCCGAGGAAAAGAAAUCAACCGAGAUUCCCCCAGUAGCGGCGAGCGAACGGGGAGCAGCCCAGAGCCUGAAUCAGUGUGUGUGUUAGUGGAAGCGUCUGGAAAGGCGUGCGAUACAGGGUGACAGCCCCGUACACAAAAAUGCACAUACUGUGAGCUCGAUGAGUAGGGCGGGACACGUGGUAUCCUGUCUGAAUAUGGGGGGACCAUCCUCCAAGGCUAAAUACUCCUGACUGACCGAUAGUGAACCAGUACCGUGAGGGAAAGGCGAAAAGAACCCCGGCGAGGGGAGUGAAAAAGAACCUGAAACCGUGUACGUACAAGCAGUGGGAGCACGCUUAGGCGUGUGACUGCGUACCUUUUGUAUAAUGGGUCAGCGACUUAUAUUCUGUAGCAAGGUUAACCGAAUAGGGGAGCCGAAGGGAAACCGAGUCUUAACUGGGCGUUAAGUUGCAGGGUAUAGACCCGAAACCCGGUGAUCUAGCCAUGGGCAGGUUGAAGGUUGGGUAACACUAACUGGAGGACCGAACCGACUAAUGUUGAAAAAUUAGCGGAUGACUUGUGGCUGGGGGUGAAAGGCCAAUCAAACCGGGAGAUAGCUGGUUCUCCCCGAAAGCUAUUUAGGUAGCGCCUCGUGAAUUCAUCUCCGGGGGUAGAGCACUGUUUCGGCAAGGGGGUCAUCCCGACUUACCAACCCGAUGCAAACUGCGAAUACCGGAGAAUGUUAUCACGGGAGACACACGGCGGGUGCUAACGUCCGUCGUGAAGAGGGAAACAACCCAGACCGCCAGCUAAGGUCCCAAAGUCAUGGUUAAGUGGGAAACGAUGUGGGAAGGCCCAGACAGCCAGGAUGUUGGCUUAGAAGCAGCCAUCAUUUAAAGAAAGCGUAAUAGCUCACUGGUCGAGUCGGCCUGCGCGGAAGAUGUAACGGGGCUAAACCAUGCACCGAAGCUGCGGCAGCGACGCUUAUGCGUUGUUGGGUAGGGGAGCGUUCUGUAAGCCUGUGAAGGUGUGCUGUGAGGUAUGCUGGAGGUAUCAGAAGUGCGAAUGCUGACAUAAGUAACGAUAAAGCGGGUGAAAAGCCCGCUCGCCGGAAGACCAAGGGUUCCUGUCCAACGUUAAUCGGGGCAGGGUGAGUCGACCCCUAAGGCGAGGCCGAAAGGCGUAGUCGAUGGGAAACAGGUUAAUAUUCCUGUACUUGGUGUUACUGCGAAGGGGGGACGGAGAAGGCUAUGUUGGCCGGGCGACGGUUGUCCCGGUUUAAGCGUGUAGGCUGGUUUUCCAGGCAAAUCCGGAAAAUCAAGGCCGAGGCGUGAUGACGAGGCACUACGGUGCUGAAGCAACAAAUGCCCUGCUUCCAGGAAAAGCCUCUAAGCAUCAGGUAACAUCAAAUCGUACCCCAAACCGACACAGGUGGUCAGGUAGAGAAUACCAAGGCGCUUGAGAGAACUCGGGUGAAGGAACUAGGCAAAAUGGUGCCGUAACUUCGGGAGAAGGCACGCUGAUACGUAGGUGAAGCGACUUGCUCGUGGAGCUGAAAUCAGUCGAAGAUACCAGCUGGCUGCAACUGUUUAUUAAAAACACAGCACUGUGCAAACACGAAAGUGGACGUAUACGGUGUGACGCCUGCCCGGUGCCGGAAGGUUAAUUGAUGGGGUUAGCGCAAGCGAAGCUCUUGAUCGAAGCCCCGGUAAACGGCGGCCGUAACUAUAACGGUCCUAAGGUAGCGAAAUUCCUUGUCGGGUAAGUUCCGACCUGCACGAAUGGCGUAAUGAUGGCCAGGCUGUCUCCACCCGAGACUCAGUGAAAUUGAACUCGCUGUGAAGAUGCAGUGUACCCGCGGCAAGACGGAAAGACCCCGUGAACCUUUACUAUAGCUUGACACUGAACAUUGAGCCUUGAUGUGUAGGAUAGGUGGGAGGCUUUGAAGUGUGGACGCCAGUCUGCAUGGAGCCGACCUUGAAAUACCACCCUUUAAUGUUUGAUGUUCUAACGUGGACCCGUGAUCCGGGUUGCGGACAGUGUCUGGUGGGUAGUUUGACUGGGGCGGUCUCCUCCUAAAGAGUAACGGAGGAGCACGAAGGUUGGCUAAUCCUGGUCGGACAUCAGGAGGUUAGUGCAAUGGCAUAAGCCAGCUUGACUGCGAGCGUGACGGCGCGAGCAGGUGCGAAAGCAGGUCAUAGUGAUCCGGUGGUUCUGAAUGGAAGGGCCAUCGCUCAACGGAUAAAAGGUACUCCGGGGAUAACAGGCUGAUACCGCCCAAGAGUUCAUAUCGACGGCGGUGUUUGGCACCUCGAUGUCGGCUCAUCACAUCCUGGGGCUGAAGUAGGUCCCAAGGGUAUGGCUGUUCGCCAUUUAAAGUGGUACGCGAGCUGGGUUUAGAACGUCGUGAGACAGUUCGGUCCCUAUCUGCCGUGGGCGCUGGAGAACUGAGGGGGGCUGCUCCUAGUACGAGAGGACCGGAGUGGACGCAUCACUGGUGUUCGGGUUGUCAUGCCAAUGGCACUGCCCGGUAGCUAAAUGCGGAAGAGAUAAGUGCUGAAAGCAUCUAAGCACGAAACUUGCCCCGAGAUGAGUUCUCCCUGACCCUUUAAGGGUCCUGAAGGAACGUUGAAGACGACGACGU
rnacentral:rRNA from 1 species